rnacentral:RNase_P_RNA from 1 species
AUCCCAUACUUUCAGAUUGGGGUAGGAAAGUCCGGACAGCACAGGGCAGCGCAUCCCGCUAACGGCGGGACAUUCCGCCUCGCCACAAGCGGGGGCCGGGAUCGAGACAGUGCCACAGAAAAUUGGAGCCUGAGCUCCGGGGGCAACUCCGCAGCGUGUGUCAGCCCGCCCUUGUCCGCCCACGGGCGUACUUCGGCGGGGAGGCAGGGUAAUCGUGAAAACGUGGGGUAAGAGCCCACGGCGCAGCAUCGGAAGGUGCUGCGCGGGUAAACCUUGCGCGCUGAAAUGCCAUGUAUAGGAACAACCUGAGGCGGCUCGCUUCAUUCCCCGGAAGGGGAAGUGUUCCAGGGUAGGCAGCUUGAGGCGGCCAGAUUGGUUAAUUGGUAACUUGUUCGUC